CGUGAAAGGCGUGAGAGGCGUGAGAGGGGAGUGAGGCGUGCUUCAUCCCUUUUAAUUGGAUCCCAGACAGAAUAAAUAAUAUUGUUUUUGAAUAGUGAGUAGAAUCUCUUCUAAUUUCAAAGUGGAGUAAGGGCUAAAAAACAAAAGGCAUCAAGGCUCAUUCGAAUGAACCUAAGAGAAAAGACGGGAGAGAGAUUGACUAUUGGAAAUGAGUGGCUCUGAAGCUGAGCGUGGCACUUUGGGCCAUGCAUCACAUCGCAGCUCGAAGCUUUUAACUCAUGAAGAAAAUGUAUUCCUCAUGCGUCUUUUGGGUCCCCGCUGCCCGUCCCUCGCCACAAGCGUUGUGCAGGUUUUCGAGUCUAGGAAAGAUAGGAUUUGGAGCCCUGUUCUGAGGUGUGGCGUGGUGUGCUUCGUGAAGGAUAACCUGAAGCGCUCCUACUACAUCCGCAUUCUCCAUCUGCCCGCUUCCACGCUCGCUCUCAACCAGGAGAUCUAUUCACAGUUCUGCUACAAGACUCCCAUGUCUUGGUUCCAUACUUUUGAGGGAGACUCCGCCGUCAUUGGCCUCAAUUUUGCUAAUGAAAUUGAAGCCCUGCAAUUUAAAAAUAUUCUCCAGACUAAUUUAAGAGAACGUCGAUUACAUAAGGAAAGAAAAAAUGCUCAAAAAAGGAGUUUGGGCUCUGGCCAUUUAGUUCGGAAAGACGCUUCGGAAAGUACAUCAUUUUCCACUUCUUCACUCUCGUCAUCCAUUGCAGAUAUGUCAAUUAACACUGUUGGAUCCAGUUCAGGUCUUUCUACUAAUUCCCAACAUCAUUCCUUUGUUUCUGGGGGAUAUAAAUUAAGAAAUCUUUCUAGAAAAAAAAUAAAAAAGGAAGACAUUUCACGUCCAACAAAUUUCAAGCACAUUAGUCAUGUUGGAUGGGAUCCUAACAAGGGUUUCGAUUUGGAAAAUGUGGACCCUAAACUUCUUAAAUUUUUUUCAAGAGCUGGUGUAAGUGAAAAAGAAUUGAAGAAUAAGAGAAUGAGGGAUUUUAUUUAUCAAUUUAUAGAUGACCAUGGUGGAUUCGAAGCAGCUAUUCAGGAGGUUGAUCAUCAAGUAGAUAAUGAUCACAUUCUACAACAUUCCCUUCUAUUUAAAAUAAAUCCUUAUAAUAAACAUGCACCUUCUCCUCCCAAUACUUCAAAUACAUAUCAACAUCAGGCGCCUGCUCCACCUCCAAGACAGAGCUCAAUUGGACGACCACUAGUAAAGGAGUCUCUUCCUCCUGCCCCUAGUCGUAUAAAUGUAAUGCCACAAAGAGACAAAAAUCCAUCUUCGUUGUAUUGGUCAAAUAAAGCAUCUAUGUCAGUGCCUUCUCAGUUUCAGAAUGUUAAUACGUCUAGUUUAGCUUUAAAAAAGGAAACACCGCCGACUCUGCCUCCAAUUCCAAUACCACUGCAAGCUCCUACACCGCCGCCUCCACCAGGAAUACUUUUUGAAUCUACAAAAAUUAAAUGCCCUUUGUGGACAAUUGAAAAGGAAAUCAUUCUUAAUUCUGAUCAAAAUACCCAUAAUUGUGCAAGGAAUAAUUUGAUGGAAGAAAUCCGAAAAGGGGGUAAUCUGCGACAUGUGACUUCGAAGGAAAUUAUUAAGCCCUCAAAAAACAUGAGAAAUGACUUAAUGGAUCAAAUACGAACGGGAGUAACUUUGAAAAAAGUGGACUUUGAACAAAAUAAUGAAUUUAAGGAGGCCUCUGGAAUAGCUGGACUUUUACAAAAAGCCUUAAAAGAACGGCUCUCCGCUGUUGGAUUUUCAUCUUCUGAAGGAGAAGAAGCAGAUGAUGAAGAUGAAUGGGAUGAUUAAGCUGCAGCUUCCCAUGACAUUUUUUAAAUCAAAUUUAAUAUCGGUUCCAUCAAAUACUUAAAUAUUACUAUGGGGAACACGAAUUUUGUACAAAUUAAUUGGAGCAAAUAAUGGAAUUUAUAUUGGAGCACAUAAUCCAAAAUUGAUAUAAUUUUUUCCCUGACGCAUCAGGUUUCAGGAUUAUCAGGAAUGAUAGAAAUUCAGGACUAAUAUACCUCAGAGUCGUUUUUCACCAUAAGAGCAAUUGUCAAAUAAAAGUACCGACAA
rnacentral:misc_RNA from 1 species